rnacentral:lncRNA from 1 species
AAAGAAAUAAAACAUGUUUUCAAACUUUGUUUGAAGAGAUAUUAGAGUCGGCGAAAGUGGCAUGAACUAAAGUGAGAGAAAAUCACAUUUUUUCUAAGAAACACACAAGGCUAACACUAAAGUUUUGAAGGUACCUGAGAAGAAGGAAGACAAGAAGAAACCCAAGGAUGAGUAAUCAAUCUAAGACAUUUGGAGAUCAGGGAAUCCCAAGUGCAGGCAGCUUUUUCUCACAGAUAACUCCUUCAAGAUAAAAUAUGGACAGCCGUUAUCUAGUUUACUGCUGUAUUUAUAAAGUACAAACACCAUCAUUUCUUCAGUAACCAAAUAACUGUUAAACGUGAAGUUUCCUUCAGUGAAUACCUGAAUUCCUAAAUUAUAACCAGAUAUGUCCGGCCCAGGAGACAAGAGAGAACAAAAACCCUACCGCCCUCCCCCAUACGAGAGGCCUUAUGGACCUCCUGAUAACCCCAAGGAUCGUCCAAGAGCUUAAACUUACAUCUCCAAUGUUAUCCAGCUUCAUAGUUUACACAUCUAAGCUUAUAUAGUAAUAUUUUAUGCUAAGUUAGUAAUUUCGGAGGUCCACGCCAUUCCUGUACAAGGAAUUAUGCUGUGUGGAGCUGAAGUAACUUAAAGUGAAACUACGAUACUUGGAUUGUAUGCUCCCUGUCCUGAUCAACCAGUACCUCAUUCGACAGGGGAUGAUGGUAUACGACUUCUGGAGAAGUGCUGGCCAUAGCGUUAAUUAUGUUUCUGCCAAAUUGCGCAAUGGACAGCGAUAAUUGAUUCGACUGAUUAAUUAACUAUGUUCAAGUUCAAUUCAUAGACCAUCUGAUAGAAUAUGUUGGUCUUUUCUAGAAAGGCUUAGGUACUCUGUUGCACCGAAAUUAGUCAACUGUGUCACCCAUCUAUCAAUGUUGGAAAAACCACAUCAUGGCAUGAUUUUUUGGGAAAUACUGAAGAGAUAAACUCAAGAUGAGAGUGUAUUGUUGUGAUCAGUUCAUAUUGAUUGUUCAUUUAUCAAUCACAAUAUAGAUACUGGUGAAUUGAUAAUGUCACGUUUGUUCCAAUAUCAUUAUCCAAUUUAUUUGUAAGUAGGUAUACUGAAGUAUGUUCAGAAUGAUUGUUUUUGAAAUGUUUUGAUGUUUGAUUAUUUAAUUUUAUUUGUAGAAUCUCUAAUAAAUUGUAUUACUUAUUAAACAAUAAAAACUGUAUCAUUUCAAAUUCUACUUACUUACCUUUAUUUGUACAGCUUAUUUCAGCUGGUCAUUAAAAAACAAAUACGAAUCGAAA